rnacentral:rRNA from 1 species
GGCGAAGUCUGACGCAGCAACGCCGCGUGAUCGAUGAAGGUUCUAGGAGUGUAAAGAUCUGUCGUGAGGGAAGAAAAGCUUGGAUGUAAAUAAUGUUCAGGUGUGACGGUACCUUACAAGAAAGCACCGGCUAACUUCGUGCCAGCAGCCGCGGUAAUACGAGGGGUGCUAGCGUUGUCCGGAAUAACUGGGCGUAAAGGGUCCGUAGGCGUUUUGCCAAGUUGAUCGUUAAAGCCACCGGCUCAACCGGUGAUCUGCGAUCAAAACUGGUAGAAUAGAAUAUGUGAGGGGAAUGUGGAAUUCCUGGUGUAGCGGUGACAUGCGUAGAUAUCAGGAGGAACACCAAUGGCGAAGGCAGCAUUCUGGCACAAUAUUGACGCUGAGGGACGAAAGCGUGGGGAGCGAACAGGAUUAGAUACCCUGGUAGUCCACGCCGUAAACGAUGAGUACUUGGUGGUGGAGGAUUCGACCCCUUCACUAUCGGAGCUAACGCGUUAAGUACUCCGCCUGGGGACUACGGCCGCAAGGCUG